CCUACGGGAGGCAGCAGUGAGGAAUAUUGGUCAAUGGGCGCGAGCCUGAACCAGCCAAGUCGCGUGAGGGAAGACGGUCCUAUGGAUUGUAAACCUCUUUUGUCGGGGAGCAAAAGACGCCACGCGUGGCGUUCCGAGAGUACCCGAAGAAAAAGCAUCGGCUAACUCCGUGCCAGCAGCCGCGGUAAUACGGAGGAUGCGAGCGUUAUCCGGAUUUCCUGGGCGUAAAGGGAGCGUAGGCGGCCUGCCAAGUCUGAUGUGAAAUACCGGGGCUCAACCCCGGGGCUGCAUUGGAAACUGGCAGGCUGGAGUGCCGGAGAGGCAGGCGGAAUUCCUAGUGUAGCGGUGAAAUGCGUAGAUAUUAGGAGGAACACCAGUGGCGAAGGCGGCCUGCUGGACGGUGACUGACGCUGAGGCUCGAAAGCGUGGGGAGCAAACAGGAAUAGAUACCCUGUAGUC
rnacentral:rRNA from 1 species